GCUUUCCUUGUCAUGGGGUGAGAAAGCUGCUCAAUGAACGCAUAGUGAGAGCAGCCCUGCCAACACCAUCACAAUAAUCAUGCAUCACCUGGACUCCUAUCUAGAGCACAGUGCAAUUUUUGGAACA